UACGUAGGGUGCAAGCGUUGUCCGGAAUUAUUGGGCGUAAAGAGCUUGUAGGUGGUUUGUCGCGUCUGCUGUGAAAAUCCGGGGCUCAACCCCGGACUUGCAGUGGGUACGGGCAGACUAGAGUGUGGUAGGGGAGACUGGAAUUCCUGGUGUAGCGGUGGAAUGCGCAGAUAUCAGGAGGAACACCGAUGGCGAAGGCAGGUCUCUGGGCCAUUACUGACACUGAGAAGCGGAAAGCUGGGGAGCGAACAGG
rnacentral:rRNA from 1 species